UACGGGGGGGGCAAGCGUUGUUCGGAAUUACUGGGCGUAAAGGGCUCGUAGGUGGCCAACUAAGUCAGACGUGAAAUCCCUCGGCUUAACCGGGGAACUGCGUCUGAUACUGGAUGGCUUGAGUUCGGGAGAGGGAUGCGGAAUUCCAGGUGUAGCGGUGAAAUGCGUAGAUAUCUGGAGGAACACCGGUGGCGAAGGCGGCAUCCUGGACCAACACGUGACACUGAGGAGCGAAAGCCAGGGGAGCAAACGGG
rnacentral:rRNA from 1 species